rnacentral:rRNA from 1 species
AAAGGCGGAUUUAUCUGCCGCUCAUGGAUGGGCCUGCGGUGCAUUAGCUAGUUGGUGAGAUAGUAGCUCACCAAGGCGACGAUGCAUAGCCGACCUGAGAGGGUGAUCGGCCACACUGGGACUGAGACACGGCCCAGACUCCUACGGGAGGCAGCAGUAGGGAAUCCUCCGCAAUGGACGCAAGUCUGACGGAGCAACGCCGCGUGAGUGAUGAAGGGUUUCGGCUCGUAAAACUCUGUUGUUAAGGAAGAAUACUUGAGGUAGUAACUGGCCUUGAGAUGACGGUA